rnacentral:lncRNA from 1 species
GGUUUCAGGGUUAGAUCUUGAAACUUUUUCAAGAUCAUACAGCGGAAGACUAAAAUAAAUCAAAAUUUAUUUUUUAAAACCAGAGAAUCUCUAGAUCUAAAAUCCUAUUACAUGAUUAUUACAUAACAUUAAAUCAGAAAUUAAAAUAUAUAAAUAUAGCAUGAACUACAUGUUGAUCAUAUCAACAUGUUUCUAUACCACAUCUAAUGUAUGUAUUAAACAAU